GUAUGGCUGUUCGCCAUUUAAAGUGGUACGCGAGCUGGGUUUAGAACGUCGUGAGACAGUUCGGUCCCUAUCUGCCGUGGGCGCUGGAGAACUGAGGGGGGCUGCUCCUAGUACGAGAGGACCGGAGUGGACGCAUCACUGGUGUUCGGGUUGUCAUGCCAAUGGCACUGCCCGGUAGCUAAAUGCGGAAGAGAUAAGUGCUGAAAGCAUCUAAGCACGAAACUUGCCCCGAGAUGAGUUCUCCCUGACUCUUUAAGGGUCCUGAAGGAACGUUGAAGACGACGACGUUAAUAGGCCGGGUGUGUAAGCGCAGCGAUGCGUUGAGCUAACCGGUACUAAUGAACCGUGAGGCUUAACCUUACAACGCCGAAG
rnacentral:rRNA from 1 species